UACAUGGGGUGCAAACGUUGCUCGGAAUUAUUGGGCGUAAAGCGCACGUAGGCGGUUUGUUAAGUCGGAUGUGAAAUCCCUCGGCUCAACUGAGGAAGUGCACCCGAAACUGGCAGGCUUGAGUACUAAAGAGGGUCGCGGAAUUCCCGGUGUAGAGGUGAAAUGCGUAGAGAUGUGGAGGAACACCGAUGGCGAAGGCAGCCUCCUGGGCUAGUACUGACGCUCAUGCACGAAAGCGUGGGGAGCAAACAGG
rnacentral:rRNA from 1 species